AUAGCUUAUAUGCGAAUUUUGGAGGUGAAUUGAAGCCUACACGACUGUUUAAAGUUUCGAGUUACUAUUCCAGCUACAGUGCUGUUCUUCAUGCUACAGUAUUUUGUUCAUCUUAGCUACAGUAAACGUGAUCUCAACAGUGCUUGUUCGCUACAGUACCCGUAAUCACUACAGUACAUGUUGCUACAGUGAUUUCGGGGCACUAUUCACAGAACUUGGGAUUUUGGGCAUUUUUCUUCCGGGAUCUCUCGUUGCGCCACUCGGCCCGAAUGGCUUCUCCGGCCAUGGCCGGUGGCCAUCCGGCUACUUCUUUGGAGUUCCCGCCGCUUCCGUCGUUUGCACAAAUGGCGGCAAAACCGCCCACUGCUCAACCCUGCAAAUCGUUUGUGGAUGCCGCUGUUGAGUCUCAAAGAGCUGCUCCGGCUAUUGCUUUCAGGCAAUCCUCGACCCACAGAGGCGAGCCGGCCAUAUUUUUCUCCGAGGAAGAAAUUAACAUCAUGGCCGCACCGUUCAAGCUUGCUUUGGUGGGUAAGUUUUCCUUCGGCCGCCCUCCCAUUGAUGUUAUCCGCAAAUUUUUUGUGGCUCUUGGCUUGAAGGGAAAUUGUGAAAUCUCAUUAUUGGAUCCUCGCCACAUCCUUAUCCACCUGCACCUGGAAGAGGACUAUACGAGAAUUUGGCUCCGCCAAUCUUGGUUUAUUGAUGGCCGAGCUAUGAGGGUGUUCAAAUGGUCCACAACUUUUCACAGUUCGGAAGAGUCGCCGAUUGUUCCGGUAUGGGUCUCCUUGCCGUUUUUACCUGUCCAUUACAUGAGAUGCAAAGAGGCUCUGUAUUCGAUUGCUGCUGCCAUCGGUAAACCGCUUCGGAUCGAUCAUGCCACCGCCGCGGUCAGUAGGCCUACUGUUGCUAGAGUCCUCAUUGAGUAUGACAUUUCUAGGCCUCUAUUGAAGCGGUUAUGGAUCGGCGAAAAAGACACUGGAUUCUGGCAGUAUAUUAUCUUCGAAAAGGUGCCUCGGUAUUGUGCUGCCUGCAAGCACGUGGGCCACUCUGAUGAUUCUUGCUAUAUCAACAAACCCGAGUUGCGGAAAGCGGACCGUGUUGGCCCAGUUCAGCAACCUGUUGUUCCUGAUGGUGAGCGUAACAAGACGAAGGCACCUAUGAAGACUCAGUAUGUCCAGAAAGCUGAUAACAGAACCCAGAACACGGUAACAAAUGUAGCGGCCACAGUUCUUCCUCCGGUUGUUCAUAAUGGUCCUACCACCAGUGCCGAAACCAGGGAAGCACAAAAUGAUGUUCCUCCUGCUAAAACGACACAAGUUGCCAUUUCUGAUCCUCCCGCCGUUGCUGACAUACCUCCUCUGCGCACAGUCACCCAGCCUUCUGUUGUGUGUGCCUCUUCUGAGCCCACGUGCAGUGACCUCGUUCCUGCUGUUACUGGUGCUGAUUCCACGGUCACUACUCCUACACCUCUUGUAGCUCUUCUGCCGUUGAGUGGUGAUCAUGCCGCUCAUGUGGGAAUUACAGCCGGUGAUCUUAUUUAUCGUGAGAUUCCUGCUUGGGAUCCUUAUCGCCAUCAAGGGCGAUUUUACCGCAGCUCAUCCUGGCAGACGGCCAGUUCAUGUGAUACUUUUCCAGACAUUCCGUCUACCGAUGACUUGGCAAUCCAAUGUGCUCCACAUGAUGCUACGCCGAUAUGCACUCUUAAUACUGAAUCCACUGAUGUCCCUGAGGUAUCUCCUGCACCCGACACUUCAAAAGAUAGAAUUGGAAAGAGUUAUCUGUACGAGGAUUACACCAGCUCGAGUGAUGAUGACGUUCAUGUUAAUGUCCGUAUCGGCAUUUCUGACUCAGAGAUUAUGGAGGGUUCUGCUAUCGAGAAAUUGGGCGGACAGAGAAUUAUCACUUCUACGGAGGGUUUUGCGGAAGUUGCUCCACGGAAGGGCUACAAGAUGUCCCGUAGACGCCGGCGAUAUUGAUAUCAUAUGUUUAUUGUAGUUUGUAUUUUGCUUGUCUUGUUGAUGUUUGCUGUUUGCUCUGGAGGUUUGGUCUAUGCCCCCCUCCAGUAUUGUAUUUUAUUUUCCUUUACUUUCUUUUUAUCUACAGGUAGGGGUCCCGCCUAACCCCCCACCUCCGGGUGGUUUCUAAUAAAAAAAAAAAAAAAAAAACCGCUACUGUGAUGCCGAGCCUUUAAUUCCACUUUCCGGCCAUUUUUCCGGCGAGUGAAUAUACACCUCCACUUCCAGCACGUCGUCCUUUGAAUUCCCUUCGAUUUGAUAUGUUGCUUGGAAAUUUUGGUGCACGUUUGGAGCUUGAAAGAUUGAAGUGAAGUCGGAAUACUAUGCGUGCUACAGUACCCGAAUGCUAGUUUCGGUUUUCCGACCACAUUUUCCGGCAAGUAAGCUCACACCUCCCUCUUAAACAUAUUCAUCCUUCAUUGAUCUACAUUUCCGUGUGUUUAUUGGGGAUUUUGGAGUUGAUUUGAAUUCCCGAUCAAGCUUUGAAGUUUCGGUUUACUAUUCAAUGAAUAGUGCCGAUAUCUAAAUCCUAGAUCCGGUCAAAUUUCCGGCGAGUGAACUCUCACCUCCCCCUCAGAAUUGUUCCCCUCUCACCGAUCUACGUUUCCAUACCUUAUAUGAGCAUUUUGGAGGUGAUUUGAAGCCUACACGAUAAUUUGAAUUUCGGAUUUACUAUUCCUGCUACAGUGCUGUUCUUCUUGCUACAGUAUUUUGUUCAUUAUUGCUACAGUGCCAUUGAUCUCUACAGUACCCGUUGCUACAGUACCCGUGAUCGCUACAGUACCUGUUUGCUACAGUGAUUUCAGGGUACUAUUCACAGAACUUGGGAUUUUGAGCAUUUUUCUCCCGGGGUCUCCCGUCGCGCAGCUCGGCCCGAAUGGCUUCUCUGGCCAUGGCCGGUAGCCAUCCGGCUACUUCAUUGGAGUUUCCGCCGCUUCCAUCGUUUGCUCAAAUGGCGGCAAAAUCGCCCACUGCUCGGCCCUGUAAAUCGUUUGUGGAUGCCGCUGCUGGGUCUCAAAGAGCUGCUCCAGCCAUUGCCUUCAGGCAAUCUUCCACCCAUAGAGGUGAGCCGGCCAUUUUUUUCACCGAGGAAGAAAUUAACAUCAUGGCCGCACCAUUCAAGCUCGCUUUAGUGGGUAAGUUUUCUUUCGGCCGCCCCCCUAUUGAUGUUAUUCGUAAAUUUUUUGUGGCUCUUGGCUUGAAAGGAAAUGUUGAAAUUUCAUUAUUGGAUCCUCGUCACAUCCUUAUCCACCUGCACCUGGAAGAGGACUAUACGAGAAUUUGGCUCCGCCAAUCUUGGUUUAUUGAUGGCCGAGCUAUGAGGGUGUUCAAAUGGUCCACAACUUUUCAUAGUUCGGAAGAGUCGCCGAUUAUUCCGGUAUGGGUCUCCUUGCCAUUUUUACCUGUCCAUUACAUGAGAUGCAAAGAGGCUCUGUAUUCGAUUGCUGCUGCCAUCGGUAAACCGCUUCGGAUCGAUCAUGCCACCGCUGCGGUCAGUAGGCCUACUGUUGCUAGAGUCCUCAUUGAGUAUGACAUUUCUAGGCCCCUAUUGAAGCGGUUAUGGAUCGGCGAAAAAGACACUGGAUUCUGGCAGUAUAUUAUCUUCGAAAAGGUGCCUCGGUAUUGUGCUGCCUGCAAGCAUGUGGGCCACUCUGAUGAUACUUGCUAUAUCAACAAACCCGAGUUGCGGAAAGCGGACCGUUCCGGCCCAGUUCAGCAAACUGUUGUUCCUGAUGGUGAGGGUAACAAGACAAAGGCACCUAUGAAGACUCAGUAUGUUCAGAAAGCCGAUCACAGAAACCAGACUGCAGCAACAACAGAAGCGGCAACAGUUGUUACUCCGAUUGUUCAAAAUGUUCCUACCACCGGUGCAGAAACCAGUGAAGCACCAAAUGAAGUUACUACUACUGAAGCAACACCAGUUAUCAUUGCUGAUCUUCCUGCUGUUGCUGAGAUCCCUCCCCCGAGCACAGUCACUCUGCCUUCAGUUGUGUGUGCCUCUCCUGAGCCCAUGUGCAGUGACCUCGUUCCUGCUGUUACUAGUGCUGAUUCUACGGCCAUUACUCCUACACCUCUUGCAGCUCUUCUGCCGUUGAGUGGUGAUCAUGCCGCUCGUGUGGGAACGACAGCCGGUGACCUCAUUUAUCGUGCGACGCCUGCUUGGGAUCCUUAUCGCCAUCAAGGGCGAUUUUACCGCAGCUCAUCUUGGCAGACGGUCAGUUCUUGUGAUACAUUUCCAGACAUUACUUCUACAGAAGUUUUGACACUCCCAUAUGCUCCAUAUGAUGCUGCGCCGAUAUGCACUCUCAAUACCGAAUCCACUGAUGUCCCUGAGGUAUCUCCUGCACCCAACACUUCAAAAGAUAGAAUUGGAACGAGCCAUCGGAUCGAGGAUUACAGCAACUCCAGUGAUGACGUUCCUGUUGAUGUCCGUAUAGGCAUUUCAGACUCAGAGAUUAUGGAAGAGACAGUCAUCGCGAAAUUGGGUGGGCAAAGAAUUGUCACUUCUACGGAGGGUUUUACUGAAGUCACUCCUCGGAAGGGCUUCAAGAUGAACCGCAGACGCCGCCGAUAUUGAUUUUAUAUUUUCAUUGUACUUUUCUUUUUGUCUGUUUGUUGUUUUCAUUUUUCUCUGGAGGUUUGGUUCAUGUCCCCCUCCAGUAUUUGUAAUUUGUUUUUUGUUUUAUCUACUGGUAGGGGUCCCGCCUAACCCCCCACCUCCGGGUGGUUUUCAAUAAAAAAAAAAAACCCUAAACCCUAAACCCUAAACCCUAAACCCUAAACCCUAAACCCUAAACCCUAAACCCUAAACCCUAAACCCUAAACCCUAAACCCUAAACCCUAAACCCUAAACCCUAAACCCUAAACCCUAAACCCUAAACCCUAAACCCUAAACCCUAAACCCUAAAAAACCCUAAACCCUAAACCCUAAACCCUAAAAAACCCUAAACCCUAAAAAACCCUAAACCCUAAACCCUAAACCCUAAAGGAUCUGCUACAGUAGCGUUUUGCUACAGUGACAAUUUUCUCUCAACCGCUACAGUGAUGCCGAGCCUUUAAUUCCACUUUCCGGCCAAUUUUCCGGCGAGUGAUUCUACACCUUCACUUCCAGCACGUCGGCCUUUGAAUUCCCUUCGAUUUGAUAUGUUGCUUGGAUAUUUUGGAGCACGUUUGGAGCUUGAAAGAUUGAAGUGAAGUCGGAAUACUAUGCGCGCUACAGUACCCGAAUGCUAGUUUCGGUUUUCCGACCACAUUUUCCGGCAAGUAAGCUCACACCUCCCUCUUAAACAUAUUCAUCCUUCAUUGAUCUGCAUUUCCGUGUGUUUAUUGGGGUUUUUGGAGUUGAUUUGAAUACCCGAUCAAGCUUUGAAGUUUUGGUUUACUAUUCAAUGAAUAGUGCCGAUAUCUAAAUCCUAGAUCCGGUCAAAUUCCCGGCGAGUGAACUCUCACCUCCCCCUCAGACUUGUUCCCCUCUCACCGAUCUACGUUUCCAUACCUUAUAUGAGCAUUUUGGAGGUGAUUUGAAGCCUACACGAUAAUUUGAAUUUCGGAUUUACUAUUCCUGCUACAGUGCUGUUCUUCUUGCUACAGUAUUUGUUCAUCCUUGCUACAGUGCCGUUGAUCUCUACAGUACCCGUUGCUACAGUACCCGUGAUCGCUACAGUACCUGUUUGCUAUAGUGAAUUCAGGGUACUAUUCACAGAACUUGGGAUUUUGAGCAUUUUUCUCCCGGGAUCUCCCGUCGCGCAGCUCGGCCCGAAUGGCUUCUCUGGCCAUGGCCGGUAGCCAUCCGGCUACUUCAUUGGAGUUUCCGCCGCUUCCAUCGUUUGCACAAAUGGCGGCAAAACCGCCUACUGCUCAACCCUGCAAAUCGUUUGUGGAUGCCGCUGCUGGGUCUCAAAGAGCUGCUCCGGCCAUUGCCUUCAGGCAAUCCUCCACCCAUAGAGGCGAGCCGGCCAUAUUUUUCACCGAGGAAGAAAUUAACAUCAUGGCUGCGCCGUUCAAGCUCGCUUUGGUUGGUAAGUUUUCUUUUGGCCGCCCUCCUUUGGAUGUUAUCCGCAAAUUCUUUGUGGCUCUUGGUUUGAAAGGAAACGUUGACAUUUCAUUAUUGGAUCCUCGGCACAUCCUCAUCCACCUACACCUGGAAGAGGACUAUACGAGAAUUUGGCUCCGCCAAUCUUGGUUCAUUGAUGGCCGAGCUAUGAGGGUGUUCAAAUGGUCCACAACUUUCCACAGUUCGGAAGAGUCGCCGAUUGUUCCGGUAUGGGUCUCUUUGCCGUUUUUACCUGUCCACUACAUGAGAUGCAAAGAGGCUCUGUAUUCGAUUGCUGCUGCCAUUGGGAAACCGCUUCGGAUCGAUCAUGCCACCGCCGCCGUCAGCAGGCCUACUGUUGCCAGAGUUCUCAUUGAGUAUGACAUUUCGAGGCCUUUAUUGAAGCGGUUAUGGAUCGGGGAGAAAGACACUGGGUUUUGGCAGUAUAUCAUCUUUGAAAAAGUGCCUCGGUAUUGUGCUGCCUGCAAGCACGUGGGCCACUCUGAUGAUACAUGCUACAUCAACAACCCUGAGUUGCGGAAAACAGACCGCGCCAACCCAGUUCGGCAAACUGUUGUUCCGGAUGGCGAGGGUACCAAGACAAAGGCUCCUGUGAGGACUCAGUACGUGCAGAAAGCCGAUAACAGAAAUCAGAGCGCGGUAACACAUGAAGCGGCAACUCAUAAUGCUCAGAACAAUUCCACAGUUGCUUCUCUAGUUGUUCAGGAUGUUCCUACCACCAGUGUAGAAACCAGUGAAGCACCAAAUGCCGUUAAUACUACUGAAGUGACACCAGUUAUCAUUUCUGAUCCUCCCGCUGUUGCGGCCAUACCUUCUCCAGCCAUAGUCACCCAGUCUUCAGUUGUGUGUGCCUCUCCUGAGCCCACGUGCAGUGCCCUCGUUCCUGUUGUUACUGGUGCUGAUCCUACGAUCACUACUCCUACACCACUUGCAGCCCUUUUGCCACUGAGCGGUGAUCAUGCCGCUAGUGUGGGAAUUACAGCCGGUGACCUUAUUUAUCGUGCGACCCCUGCUUGGGAUCCUUAUCGCCACCAAGGGCGAUUUUACCGCAGCUCAUCUUGGCAAACUAUCAGUUCUUGUGAUACUUUUCCAGAUAUUCCGAAUACAGAUGUCUGGGCAAUCCAAUGUGCUCCACAUGAUGCUGCGCCGAUAUGCACUCUCAAUACCGAAUCCACUGAUGUCCCUGAGGUAUCUCCUGCCCCCAACACAUCAAAAGAUAGAAUUGGAACGAGCUAUCGGAUCGAGGAUUACAGCAACUCGAGUGAUGACAUUUGUGGAGAUGUCCGUAUCGGCAUUUCAGACUCAGAGAUUAUGGAAGAGACAGUUAUCGAGAAAUUGGGCGGGCAAAGAAUUGUCACUUCUACGGAGGGUUUUACUGAAGUCACUCCUCGGAAAGGCUUCAAGAUGAACCGCAGACGCCGCCGCUAUUGAUUUUAUAUUUUCAUUGUACUUUUCUUUUUUUCUGUUUGUUGUUUUCAUUUUGCUCUGGAGGUUUGGUUCAUGUCCCCCUCCAGUAUUUGUAUUAUGUUUUUUGUUUUAUCUACUGGUAGGGGUCCCGCCUAACCCCCCACCUCCGGGUGGAUUUCAAUAAAAAAAAAAAACCUAAACCCUAAACCCUAAACCCUAAACCCUAAACCCUAAACCCUAAACCCUAAACCCUAAACCCUAA
rnacentral:lncRNA from 1 species